rnacentral:rRNA from 1 species
UAGGGAAUCUUCGGCAAUGGGGGGAACCCUGACCGAGCAACGCCGCGUGAGUGAAGAAGGUUUUCGGAUCGUAAAGCUCUGUUGUUAAGGAAGAACGAGUGUGAGAAUGGAAAGUUCAUACUGUGACGGUACUUAACCAGAAAGGGACGGCUAACUACGUGCCAGCAGCCGCGGUAAUACGUAGGUCCCGAGCGUUGUCCGGAUUUAUUGGGCGUAAAGCGAGCGCAGGCGGUUAGAUAAGUCUGAUGUGAAAGCCCACGGCUCAACCGUGGAGGGUCAUUGGAAACUGGAAAACUUGAGUGCAGAAGAGGAAAGUGGAAUUCCAUGUGUAGCGGUGAAAUGCGCAGAGAUAUGGAGGAACACCAGUGGCGAAGGCGACUUUCUGGUCUGUAACUGACGCUGAUGUGCGAAAGCGUGGGGAUCAAACAGG